AGAAAGCUUAGAUUUAAAUAAACAAAUGCAAGAUUGGCAGUCUUUUUCUUUUUCUAAAAACGUAACAAGACUAUUUUUAAAACGAGAACCUUCAACUAAAAGUUCUUCUAUUAAAUAAUCGAUAUCGUCUUUAUCACUUUUUGAGUCGUUGCUUAAAUAAUAAACGUUUAUUUCACGCACAACUACAUCUUACCUAAAGCUUUUAUGACUUGAACAAAGACAUCAUAGU
rnacentral:sRNA from 1 species